UGUACACAUAGUUUUCCAAUAAUGACCAAGUAAAUACAACAAAUACAGUGCUCGUGACAAGACCAGAAAGAGCACAUUCAACCUAAGAAUAAAAUAAAAUGUUCUAAAUCUUUAGACGGAAAGAACAUUUUCACUAAAUAUUCACAAAAAAAGUUCACUAAAUAUUCAUACUGUGCUUUUUUUAUCUACAAAUGUUUGAUGUCUGAUAUCUUAAAUAUCUUGGGAUAAGUUUGCUAUUUUUAACCUGGGGCCUAUUUACAGAUAAUCUAGCAAAAUCCUAGUUCAUAGAGACAUGUUUUUCAUAAAUGAUUUCAGCUUAUCUUCAAGGAAAACUAAGGACAUUUAUCAAAAAAGUAGAUUUCAAAUGACUCGUACUGCUCAGUACUUGUACCUUUCAAUGAUAAUACAGUUGGUUCUAAUAUAUUACUCUGAUUAAAAUGUUUUUCCAGUGUGAUGGAAACCAAGUUGCAUUUGCAGAUGUAUUUACAUAGCAGUCAGAAGGUAGAUUCUAUAGUCCUACAACAUUUUACGUUGCUGGACUGUGGAAUAGAUUGCCUCUUUCAUAAUGUCUUUGGAGAUGUGAACGUCAGGGCUUCUCUUAUGUUUUACAUUGUCUUUGGGAAACUGGACAGUAGAGUAGACGGAAACAUCCUGGGUUCCACCAGCUGUUGGAGGGAUUGAGGAGACUCCAGAAUCUUUAGGUAUAUCAAUGUAGUUGAGACAAUCUAGAAAAUGAGUGGAACAUCCCGGAUGUUCGGGAAAGCUACCGUCACCAGGGUAGGUUGUAGAUGGACGACCAGCAGGGUAGGUUGUAGAUGGACGACCAGCAGGGUAGGUUGUAGAUGGACGACCAUCAGGGUAGGUUGUAGUCGUGGUUUGUUUGUUGACUGUGGAAUAGACUGGAGAGAUGAACAAAGGGUUUGGGUCUGUCUGUAUUUCUGCCUCAUUGAUCUCCCCGUAAUCCUGCAAUGACAGUCAGGUUUAGAAACACGUGCACAUUUUACAAAAACCCUUGAAAAAACACAACAGAUUAAAAUAUUCGAAGACAAAGUGUUUGCAAGAAAGACACACAGCCUCAUCCAUAUUUGGGGGAGAAUUCAUGUGUUGUGUAGUUUGUGGUGGAUUUGUUUGUCUCCUGACUCCUCUCUUUCUGUAGAACAGGAGCGGAACCAGUCCUACCACUGUCACCAUGACUACCAGACCAAC
ensembl:lncRNA